rnacentral:rRNA from 1 species
UACGGAGGGGGGCUAGCGUUGUUCGGAAUUACUGGGCGUAAAGCGCGCGUAGGCGGCUUUUGUAAGUUAGAGGUGAAAGCCCCGGAGCUCAACUCCGGAAUUGCCUUUAAGACUGCAUCGCUAGAAUCAUGGAGAGGUGAGUGGAAUUCCGAGUGUAGAGGUGAAAAUUCGUAGAUAUUCGGAAGAACACCAGUGGCGAAGGCGACUCACUGGACAUGUAUUGACGCUGAGGUGCGAAAGCGUGGGGAGCAAACAGG